GGCGGUCACGUGGCGCGGCCACCCCCGCCACGGGCUUUGGGGCGGGCCGGGCGCUGUGGCACGUGCGGGAGCGGCCGCAGGGACUUCCCUGGUGGCGAAGUGGUUAAGAAUCCGCCUGCCAAUGCAGGGGACACCGAUUCCCAGCCCUGGUGGGGAAAGAUCCCACAUGCCACAGAGCAACUAAGCCGGUUCGCCACAACUACUGAGCCUGCAAGCCACAACUACUGAGCCCCUGCGCCUAGAGCCUGUGCUCUGAAACAGGAGAAGCCACUGCAAUGAGAAGACCACGCACUGCAACGAAGAGUAGCUCCCGCUCGCUGCAACUAGAGAAAGCCUGCGCGCAGCAAUGAAGACCCAAGGCAGCCAAAAAUAAAUAAAUUUCUUAAAAAAAAAAAAAAAAA